GCCUGCUUAGCUCAGUGGUAGAGCGCGUCACUAGUAAGCCUAUUCGGGUUAGCGCAAUGACGAGGUCGCCAGUUCAAUUCUGGUAGCAGGCA